UAUAAUCUCUUAACAUGUUUUAAUAACAGAUUCGAGGUAAAUGUAGCAGCAGGGUAGAAAAGUCAGCAGAGAGAGAGGAUGAGCAGGUGAUCAGUGAGGAACAGGGAGAAGACAACAGACAGCAGCUCUUUCAGACAAACGGAUGAUUCAGAUCCAAUGUGAAAGUAGCAGCAGAUGAAACCAAUCAAAAGAAGGACGGGAAGAACAUCUGAUCAGUGAGGGACAGGGUGAGGACAAUAGUCAAACAGCAGUUUCAGAUGAGCAGAAUGAACCUAAUGUUAGAGACAAACUGAGCACAGAAAACAGAGACAGAGAAGAUUCAGAAAUCAUCACUUGCUUAAAUCCUGCACAUCCUGAUCCCAAGUUUAUAAAAGUACAGACGAGAGCAAACUAUGUGCUACAC